AUUGAACGCUGGCGGCAGGCUUAACACAUGCAAGUCGAGCGGAGAUGAGGUGCUUGCACCUUAUCUUAGCGGCGGACGGGUGAGUAAGGCUUAGGAAUCUGCCUAUUAGUGGGGGACAACAUUCCGAAAGGAAUGCUAAUACCUCAUACGCCCUACGGGGGAAAGCAGGGGAUCUUCGGACCGUGCGCUAAUAGAUGAGCCUAAGUCGGAUUGGCUAGUUGGUGGGGUAAAGGCCUACCAAGGCGACGAGCUGUAGCGGGUCUGAGAGGAUGAUCCGCCACACUGGGACUGAGACACGGCCCAGGCUCCUACGGGAGGCAGCAGUGGGGAAUAUUGGACAAUGGGCGGAAGCCUGAUCCAGCCAUGCCGCGUGUGUGAAGAAGGCCUUUUGGUUGUAAAGCACUUUAAGCGAGGAGGAGGCUACCUGGAUUAAUACUCUAGGAUAGUGGACGUUACUCGCAGAAUAAGCACCGGCUAACUCUGUGCCAGCCGCCGCAGUAAAAC
rnacentral:rRNA from 1 species